rnacentral:rRNA from 1 species
CCGGGCUACACGCGAGCUACAAUGGGCGAUACAGAGGGAAGCAAAGGCCGCAAGGUAGAGCUAAUCCCUAAAGUCGUCCUCAGUUCGGAUUGCAGGCUGCAACUCGCCUGCAUGAAGUCGGAAUCGCUAGUAAUCGCGGAUCAGCUACGCCGCGGUGAAUACGUUCUCGGGCCUU